GUGUAACCCAAACCUUGAAUUUGAGAGCCUCCUGCUGGGAUCACAGGUCUGUGCACCAAACGUGGGCAGGAUUGAUCCAUGGAGAGAAGACGACGACACUGGAUCCCUGGGACUGGAGUUACAGACAGUGUGAGAUGCCGUGUGAAUGCUGGGAACUGAAACGGGAGUCCUCUGGAAGAGCAGCCCUUAGCCCUUUGGAUAAAAGGCAGAAGUAAAUAUUCUGACUUGGGUUCAGCACUGGCUUCUUAGACAUGAUACCAGGGCCACAAGUAACAAUAAAAAACAAACAAACAAAACAACAACAACAUAAAAAAAAAAAACAACAAAAUCCCAAAACUGGGUAGAACACCUCUAGAAACAGAAAAGAUAAUCUAUGUGGUGGGAGAAAAUACUAGUACAUCACAUGGUGGAAUUUCAUACAAAAUAUAUUGAAAGUACAACUUAUUAAGAGAAAUUGUUCACUUGCAAAUCAGAAAAGAUCUGAAAGCACAACAAAUAGGAUGAGUAGCGCCCAGAGCUGACAGCAGAUGGAGAGAGAGAGAUGCACAGCACUGAUGGACAAUGAGGGAAGUCAAGUCAGAACUAUCCAUCCCCACUGUCACAGGGGCAAAC
rnacentral:lncRNA from 1 species